GUGACUGCAGCCCAUAUGCCUCAAUUACAUCUCUCAUGUCCUUCACUGUUCCCUGAUUUUCCUGGGAUAUUGACUACAAAGUUUUCUGCUACAAGGAAAGAAGAAGGAAACUUAAGAGAAAUGAAAAUUAAGAAAUACAGCUUGUUCCUAGAAAAUUCAGACUCCUCGAUCUUUAGACACAAGAUCGAGGUCCUGGGCCUUACAUUUCAACACAGGUCCCUCAUAUCCAUAAAGGAAGGAGCCAAGAAAGUAGUAAACCAAGGAACGGAGUAAGACAGGGAAAUGUGCAUGCUUAGAUUUCUUUGUAUUUCCCUACUACAACUCUAUGCUCUGGAUCUUCUACUAAAUAGUAGAGCACCAUCAUGUGAUAAAGAUGGGACUGGAGAUGAACUUUAUUUUGUCCUGUGGUAGAACUUCAGAAAGCUGAAUGCACAGACAAACAACUGAAGUAUUGGGCCAAUUGUGAAUCCAGUGUUGUACUGCUUUCAUCCUUGAGGGUUUUGAUAACUUUUUGUGACCCAUGGCUUGUAAAGUGUUCCUCCCAACAAACAGGGUUGGAAUCUGGGAAGGACAACAUAAACAUCCUUUUUCUUAUCACUCUAGAAACUUUAGGAGGCCAUGCAGAUACUGAGUGGCUUACAUUAAUAACCAGGCAUUUCUCAAGGGACAGGGAGAUAGUACUCUUUUGGGGAAUGUGUGUUUUCAUUUGUUAUGCUGAAGAAUUAAAACAUGAAAGAAAAAAAUGCUAGUACUGUCUGUCAUCAGUUUUUAUGCUGUUAAUCUAUUGUUUGGUAUAGCAGCUUUUAGCUCAAAGAAAAUGCACCACAGACUUCUAAUUAAUAUUACAGAGGCAAGCACAUAAGUACUCCAUCCAGCAUUAACAAUUACCUUUGUCAUUUUCUUGGUAAACAAUAAGGUCUAGAUUUGAUGAAAAAGACAUCAUCCAUAUGGUAAUUUGAUAUCUUUAAGAAAUCACGUGAGGCCAUUUAAAUUGCUAAGUUCAAUAAAAUGUCAUUACAGAUAUCUUAUUCCCUUUCU
rnacentral:lncRNA from 1 species